rnacentral:rRNA from 1 species
UUUUAACUUUAGUGGCGAACGGGUGCGUAAUACGUGAGAAUCUGCCCUUAGGAGAAGAAUAACUGCUGGAAACGGCUGCUAAUACUUCAUAUACCGAGAGGUGAAAAAGCUUCGGCUGCCUAAGGAUGAGCUCACGCCUGAUUAGCUUGUUGGUAAGGUAAUGGCUUACCAAGGCCACGAUCAGUAGCUGGUUUGAGAGAACGAUCAGCCACACUGGGACUGAGACACGGCCCAGACUCC